GAAAUGCGUAGAUAUUGGGAGAACACCGGUGGCGAAGGCGGCCCCCUGGACCGGUACUGACGCUAAGGCGCGAAAGCGUGGGGAGCAAACGGGAUUAGAUACCCCGGUAGUCCACGCCGUAAACGAUGGGCACUUGGUGUCGCGGGUAUCGACCCCUGCGGUGCCGAAGCUAACGCAUUAAGUGCCCCGCCUGGGGAGUACGGUCGUAAGGCUGAAACUCAAAGGAAUUGACGGGGGCCCGCACAAGCGGUGGAGCAUGUGGUUCAAUUCGAAGCAACGCGAAGAACCUUACCUGGGUUUGAAGAUCAGUCGAUCGGGUGCGAAAUCACCUUUUCCCGCAAGGGACGGCUGGUUAGGUGCUGCAUGGCUGUCGUCAGCUCGUGUCGUGAGAUGUUGGGUUAAGUCCCGCAACGAGCGCAACCCUUGCUGCUAGUUGCCAACGGUUCGGCCGGGCACUCUAGUGGGACUGCCGGUGAUAAACCGGAGGAAGGUGGGGAUGACGUCAAGUCCUCAUGGCCUUUAUGUCCAGGGCCACACACGUGCUACAAUGGCCGGUACAAAGUGACGCGAUAGCGCAAGCUGGAGCAAAUCACAAAAAGCCGGUCUCAGUUCGGAUUGGGGUCUGCAACUCGACCCCAUGAAGCUGGAAUCGCUAGUAAUCGCGGAUCAGCACGCCGCGGUGAAUACGUUCCCGGGCCUUGUACACACCGCCCGUCACAUCACGAAAGUCGGCUGUACCAGAAGCCGGUGUUCUAACCCGCAAGGGAGGAAGCCGCCUAAGGUAUGGUCGGUAAUUGGGGUGAAGUCGUAACAAGGUAGCUGUAGGAGAA
rnacentral:rRNA from 1 species